UGUCCUAAUUAGAAUUCCUAGAAAAAGGGGGAGGUGCGCAAAGGUGACAAAAAAUCUAAAGAGGGGGAUCGUUCUGCGCAACGAUCGACCCCUAUAAAAACGGCGACCGAUCACCCGAUCGUCCUCUUGGUUUCUACCUCCAGAUUCGUCAUCUUGUUCCGGUACAGUCUCGCGGUAAAAUCCUUUUGCCUUUUGCAUUUAAACUUUUCAUACAACGUUACUCUGCCCAAAAGUCCAGCGAGCUUCAGCUCCAUUGUGUCAUACUAAGUUUAAGAUCUCACACUGUGUAACUCCGUUUUUGUGACUUUUAAAUAUCGAACUUAUAAAAUAAACCAAGUCAGUCAAAAUAUCCAAAUAUUAGAGUCAGUUAUUCCACUAAAGCCUCUCACCAAUCUACGCUGCAAGUCAUCACACCCAGAAUAUUCUCAAAAAGCCUGUGAAAUGUGGAUACUGUAGCUGGCUAAUACAAGGUUGUCCAAAUAUCCUACAACACAAAUGCUUGGAGCAUUAUGACGAGCACGUAGAGUGCCUGAAAGUUGAUGAAAAUAUUGUUACUUUGGUACCAAGACCAGGCGUUACGGAAUCUCCAAGUACCGAAGAGGUCGACGAUGAGAAUGUACUGUGCGACGAGCUUCUCAUUGAAGCUGUUUCCAAAAGAGUCUUUUCAAAUCAGCAACACCUUGGGAGGCAUCACUACAAAUGAUGCGAAAAAAAGAUGGCAAUACUUACGAGAUUGUUAAAUGAAGGAAAAAACGAAGCAGCAGACAUACACACCUAGCGGGUCUGCAGCUGGCACAUUAAAAAAACCGUCAUUCCGACAUUAUGACCUAAUGAAGUUUGUGGGCGACUUGUUACCGAAUACACAGUACGUUUAUUUUCUUAUCAGAAAUAUGAUGGGAGAUUUACACUGCCAGCCAAAAUUUUGGGUACACCAGUUGAAAUUUCUUGUCGCACUGAAAAAUUAGAUAGAGGACUCAAAAAUGAAGAUAAUCGAAUUUUCCAAGCGGCGUUUUAAAGAGGAGAAAUUAACUUUCAUUUUUCUUUUUUUUUAUAAAAUUCUCCAAUUAUUUUUUAUCUCAGUACAUAUUUUUGAAAAUGGCCAUUUUUCAGCUGCCGAAAAUGACACCUACAGCUAAGGGAAACUUUUUCCUCGGUUCUAGCUACACUAAAAUUGAAAAGGAUAUCAAAACCUACAUUUUCGUUUUUUAGAAAGUUUCGUACGAUUUUUUCGCUCCCGUAUUGCAUUUUCAGUUAAAAAAUGCAUGUUUUAGACAAAAAAAGCGUAAUACAAUAACUAUGGAGUUUCACAGGAAAUGUCAAGAGAGUAAAAAGUUGCGUAAGUUCAGACCAGAGUAGUUAGAAUUUUUCAGAUUUUUUGUUUUAUUUUCAUUUUUUUACAAUUUUCUGUCGGGACUGAAGAGUGGAGGGGCUCCAUUUGGGAAUUAUGAGGUCUAGGAUAAUAUACCAAGAAAGAAAAUUUGUUUACGUUUUCAAUCUUAAAAUCUUAACUACAAUUGUUUCAGAAUUUUUUGAAAUCUUAUGUUAAAAUUUUUUUCGGCUGGAACUCGGAGAAUCAUCGUCAAUGAGCUUUUUUCCUGAAGUACGAAGAAUUACUCACUAGCAGCGCUAGUAGUUCGGUAGGGACAAACACUGUCUAACCCCCAUAUAAACACACAGUAAAGUGCACUAAAAAAAAAUGUUUUUAACAGAAGACGACGUUCCUGGAGCAAAACUAAAAUUUGCAACCGUAAAAGACAACAAUGUAGUAACACUAAAACGUUGGCUUGCGUGCCGUAAUUUAAAAGUUACCGGAAAAAAAACGAGUGAAAAAAUAGCGGGAGAUUCAAACUGUAAUAAGAGAAAUUGAAAAUAAUAAUAAAUUUCAGAUUUAUUUCAGAGUGAAAUAUGAAUCAAAUAUAGAUGGUAAUGAAAAAAAAUUAAAUAAAUGAAUAUGAUUUAGUAACAGAUAGAGGUUAUAUGUCAUUCUAGUCAAUGGUAAUUAAUAGUGAAUAAAUUAACUAUUCAUUUAAUUUUUUUUUUUAAUAAUUUUGAAAACAUAUAUAAAUGAUGACUCUCAGUGAUGAGUUUAUCAGUUAGUUAGAAUUUAAUAAUUUAAUAAUCUUUUAUUAGUACGCAUUAGGGUCAACGAUUGUAUAAAUAACGGAAGAGAAGGAGUUAUUUUUGAAGGUGUCGACAAAGGAAUAUGGUUAGUGAAGAAGAAACAAUGCUUGCAAGCAUCUUUAACAGUCUCAUUGGCAUCUACAUCUGGAUCAACAGUGACAUCAGAUUCUUCUACAACAUUACCCAUCCAUACUACUUUCUAUCCUAAUGAUAAUUGGCAAACAUUUCCAUCUAAACAGGUUCCUCGUUCAUUUUGUUACGGUAUUAUACAUGAGUACAUUACAGAAGGUAAAAAUUCACAGGAAAGCGAUGACGAUGAUCAAGAAAUGGACGACGAUUUAAUGCCUGUCUCUGGUAACUCUAAAACCAUUCAAAGAGGUAGAUUGUACUGUAUUAGUGAUUGUAUAAAAGAUUUACAAGAUAAUAGUUGUAACAAUAUUUAUUAUCUAAGGGCAAAAAUCCAAUAAUCCUUUAAAACUACGAUUUACGAUGUGGUAAUAGGUCUUGAUGACGAUGGAAACGUAAUAAAUGCUGCAUGUCAAUGUCCAGCGUCUGAAUCUUUAAAUUGCUCACAUAUUGUAGCAUUACUUUUUAAACUAGAAGAAUAUACGCUUCAACAUGGUUUUGAACCGCUAACUUGGACUUCUAAAAUAAAAGAAUGGAAUCAAGGUCGCAAAACAGGAAAUAAUCCAUCAAGUAUCAUCACUGCUGAGUGUAAAAAAGUUGAAUCAACGAAAAAUUCAAGUGAAGAGUGUAAAAAAAAAAAAUUGUAAUGAAGCUAAUAGAAAAAAAGUAAUUGAUUUUAGUGUGCAGUCGAACCUAAGCAGUUCUGUGAGUGCUGAUAUAAUGACAACUGAUUUUAUUCAACGCUUACAACACAAAAAUGAAAAAUCAAUGGUUUCAAACUAAUUUAAGCUCAUCAACGCUUGGUCCAUUUGAGCUUCAGGUAGAACAAAAUAGUCCGGCAUGGCUCAAUGCACGAAGAUACCGAAUUACUGCAUCAGAUUGUAAGUCAUUUUAUACAAGCAAAGAUUUAACAAAUUUAAUAAAUACAAAGUUAUGGCAAGAAACAAAAGAUAUUAGUCACUUGCCUGCGAUUGCUUACGGUCGAGAAAAUGAAUCAACUGAAAUCCAAGAUUACCUUACGUCUAUUAAUAG
rnacentral:misc_RNA from 1 species